rnacentral:rRNA from 1 species
GAUGAACGCUGGCGGCGUGCCUAAUACAUGCAAGUCGAGCGAACAGAUGAGGAGCUUGCUCCUCUGACGUUAGCGGCGGACGGGUGAGUAACACGUGGAUAACCUACCUAUAAGACGGGGAUAACUUCGGGAAUCCGGAUCUUAUACCGGAUAAUAUAUUGAACCGCAUGGUGCAAUAGUGAAAGACGGUUUUGCUGUCACUUAUAGCUGGAUCCGCGCCGCAUGAGCUAGUUGGUAAGGUAACGGCUUACCAAGGCAACGAUGCGUAGCCGACCUGAGAGGGUGAUCGGCCACACUGGAACUGGGACGCGGUCCAGACUCCUACGGGAGGCAGCAGUAGGGAAUCUUCCGCAAUGGGCGAGAGCCUGACGGAGCAACGCCGCGUGAGUGAUGAAGGUCUUCGGAUCGUAAAACUCUGUUAUUAGGGAAGAACAAAUGUGUAAGUAACUAUGCACGUCUUGACGGUACCUAAUCAGAAAGCCACGGCUAACUACGUG